AAGGAAUAUUGGUCAAUGGGCGAAAGCCUGAACCAGCCAUUCCGCGUGCAGGAUGACUGCCCUAUGGGUUGUAAACUGCUUUUAACUGGGAAGAAACCCCUGAACUUGUUCGGGGCUGACGGUACCAGAGGAAUAAGCACCGGCUAACUCCGUGCCAGCAGCCGCGGUAAUACGGAGGGUGCAAGCGUUAUCCGGAAUCACUGGGUUUAAAGGGUGCGUAGGCGGCUUAGUAAGUCAGAGGUGAAAGUUCUGGGCUUAACCGAGGAAUUGCCUUUGAUACUGCUGAGCUUGAAGGGAGAUGAGGCAGGCGGAAUGUGACAUGUAGCGGUGAAAUGCAUAGAUAUGUCAUAGAACACCAAUUGCGAAGGCAGCUUGCUGGUCUUCUCUUGACGCUGAGGCACGAAAGCGUGGGGAGCGAAC
rnacentral:rRNA from 1 species